GAGUUGGGCGCCGGCGCGCUCCCACCGGGGCUCACGGGCGGAGAGGGAGAGGCCCGCGCCUUGCCGCGCAUUAAGACGAUUCCCGGUGACCGCCCGAUCCCUCGCCAGCGUCGUGGGUGGGGCCUGUAGGGGCCUGCCGCCUCGUCCACCGUCCGUCGUGAGGCCGGCAGCGGACACGUGCUCAUCCCACGGGGAGGCCCCGCGCAGCGCGGAGGACGCGCCUGAGAGAGAAAAGGGGUUCGGGAGAAGCCCGAGGACCCGGCCCGUGACUGGGCGCGCCCUAUGCAAAUGAGCGGGCGGGGCCCUCGUGUUGCUGAACGAGGGCGGGUUCGCGAUGUAAAUAAGCCCAGAGGUGGGGUCUUUGGAGAGCACUUAGGGCCCGGGUAGGGGAUGCCAGGUAUAAGUGUUUAACCUAAAUUUUGGUUCCGUCUUCAGUAAAAAUGAUAUCAAUAAUCCAUGUCCCGAAGGGUCUUUGUGAAGUCUAAAAGAAACAUCUGUCACGAUGUCCCUUAAUGGCUGGGAUAUCUUCCCUUCCCCUUUUCUCCACUGUUGCGACGAUUAGGCCCCAACUUGCACAUCUGCCCUACAGGAGGCAGCAAGGCCCUAAACUUACGGCUGCCCAGAACAUAACUGCACCCAGGGAAAACCUUGUUGCGGUUACCCUUAGGAACACCCAAGCCUCUGCUGACAAAAUAUUGAGCCCAACUAAUCACAUCAGGUGUUUACUAUGCACCCACUGUGACACAGGCAGGGAGUACCGUAGAACUAAAGUUGAAAAGAAACUUAGGUUUCACACAGGUGCCAGAGACAAGACUAGAACACAGUUUUUUUUUGGCUGCCUGUCCAGUAAUUCAUUCUCAUGUGUGGCUUAGUUUAUAGAUUUAAUUGGGGACUUCAAAUAAGCGGGAAAGAAGCACUAGCAAUACAAAUCGGUAAUCAGGAAGUACCAAAUGAGCACUCCAAACAGUAAGAGUUUUUGAAGUAUACGCUUUCUUCUGAGAAAUGAACGUGUCCCAGAGGAGGGUGCCUUCAGAUGGACCUUAAGAGAGAUGUGGCCAUCCCCUGAGUCAUACAAGUUUUCCAGAUGUCCUUUCAAAAUCUCUGUCCUUUCCACCGUCUCUGUCCUCACACAUAGAGGAACUUUUCUCACGGGAAGGUUGCGAUGAAGAGCAUAAACCCAGGAGUCAGGCACGUUGUAGCUUUGAGUACGACUCUGUUCCAGAUCUGUAAUCUUUGGCAAAUGGAACUCACCUGCAACGAUACCUACUUAAAUAUAGUUGUGUGAUGAUUAAAUAAUAAAUAUGAAAGUAAAUAACAUAGGGCUUUGAAGUUCAAGGAAAGUCAGUGAUCAUUAACUUCUCUUCUGUUGCGUGCGAACAUUUAUGCUGAGACGAACCUACUCAGCAGAAAUUCUUCCUCCAAAAAUUCCCUUCCAGGGUGGUUUCUUCCAUUGUUAGUUUAGAGGCAGCUCUACUAACCCCUUAAUAAAAAUAAAAAAGUUUGUGAAGGACACCCAGG
rnacentral:lncRNA from 10 species